rnacentral:lncRNA from 1 species
AUGGAUUUGGGGGGGGGGGUGGUACCAGGGUCUCCCCCUUGCAGAGGGGAAGCUCCGGGGGUCUCCCCUCUGCAUGGGUGGAGUGGAGCUGAGCAGGGCUUCCCCCAUGCGCAGAGAGUGCUGGCUGUGGUGCUCCCUCCCUGCGCCUGCCAAGCCGGCCGCCGCGGCAGGGCAGCGUUGGCCCCGGGCUCCCUUCCAGGAAUGGGUUUUCUCGGGGAGGUGCCGGCAGGGAAGGGCCAUUCCGUGAACCGCCGGGGCAGACCCGCAGCCUUCCUGGAAGGCAGUGGCGGGAAUAGUCCCAUGCCUCCCCCCCGCGAAACGGGCCGUGCACCUGGCCCAGACCUUCCUCUCUGGGCACAGCAAGCCCUGGCGUGCACCGCCGCGCAGCACCGAGCGCCCCGGGCUGGCCUGAAACCUGCAAGGUACCGAGCAGGAAAGCUGGGGGGGGGGGCCCCUUGGGGUGAUGCUGCAGCCCCAGCCAAGCCUCGGGGUGCCUCGUGGGCUUUGGCAGGGGGAGCAGAGAAAGCCAUGCUUGGCCACGGCAGUCUUCUCUGCUUCCCAUCCCUGUCMCCUUCUCUGCUGGUCCCUGGGUCUUGGCAUCCUCCCGUGCUCAGGGUGCAGCGAUGGUCCUGUGUGGAGGCCGGGAAGGGCAGGGUUAACUCCGGCUCAGCGCAGCGAGGGGAAGGAAGGUCCCUCUCCCUCUACGCGCCCACAUCCUGCAGCCGGGAGCGCUUGGGAUGCACCUGCCCGGCUCCCCGGUCCGUGGGCGGCGCAGGGGGCUGGGCGGCGCAGGGGGCUGGGCAGCUCCUGCAGCAGCGCAGGCGGCACUGGGGAGAGAUGAUUUUGGAGGGUAAGGAGGCUGUAAGGAGGUGGGAGAGGAGCGGGGUGCUCCCUGGCUCGGCAGCACCGUGCCCUCGCUGCGGGAAAGGGAGUUCGGUGACAGCGRCAGCUCCUCACGUGAUGUUCAAGGGCGCAGAGUUCAUCCUGCAGUUCGUAACUUUGUUAGUUUAUAAAUGGGUCAGCUUGUGA